GCCGUCCUAGCUCAGCUGGCAGAGCACGUGGCUUUUAAUCACAUGGUCGUGGGUUCGAACCCCACGGACGGUA
rfam:Selaginella moellendorffii unplaced genomic scaffold SELMOscaffold_59, whole genome shotgun sequence.